UACGGGGGGGCAAGCGUUGUUCGGAAUUACUGGGCGUAAAGGGCUCGUAGGCGGCCAACUAAGUCGGAUGUGAAAUCCCCAGGCUUAACCUGGGAACUGCAUCCGAUACUGGAUGGCUUGAAUCCGGGAGGAGGAUGCGGAAUUCCAGGUGUAGCGGUGAAAUGCGUAGAUAUCUGGAGGAACACCGGUGGCGAAGGCGGCAUCCUGGACCGGCAUUGACGCUGAGGAGCGAAAGCCAGGGGAGCAAACGGG
rnacentral:rRNA from 1 species